UUGCUAUCUGCGAUAUGGAAGGUUCGAACCUGCCGCAGGUUCGGGUCUCACGUAGUGAGACAACGGAGCCGCUUGCGGCGACGGCCCGAAGGGCGAGCAAAGCGAGUCAUCCUGCACGACCCACCA
rnacentral:sRNA from 4 species